rnacentral:lncRNA from 1 species
UUACCGUGUUAUGCGUAGUUUGUUAAUAUUAUACGUGACGCGUUGACGGUCUCUGCCGUACGUCUGUAUAUUCUGGAUCCGCCAUGUCAUUCAUUCGUUUGAACAGGCAGAAAACUCGAGCAGAACCGGACUCAGGUGAGUCAGUCAUCUGCCGCGACUGCAACAGGUUUAGAGAGAGAUGUGAAGACUGGUGAAUGUAUUUGAAGCAGCUGGACAGCAUACAUGUCCACCGCAGCAAAACAUCCAGAUGAACCUACAAAAAAGACACAUCGGCACUGCAAAUGAAGUAAAAAAAAACAUGCUGCAAGAAGCCAAAACAACUGCAUGCACAGCAAAAAUACUGCAAAUACACCAAUGAUACAAAGCAAAAAUCUGUUGUAAUUCAUGCAACUGAUUGAAGACUUGAAAACGAGGCACAGGAGACUUUAAGUGAAGAGAAUUUAGAUGCUGCUUGAAAGAGAACACAAAAAAGUUGUUAAUCAGUGUGAACUUAAAAGAAUAUUCCGGCGGGAAAUUAAUUUAGGGUCAAACAAACCCUAACAACAGGACAUAUAGGGUCACAGCUGGGUCACCCCGCUGUAGUCUGUAAAGGACUGGCCUGAAGUCUUGCUACAAACAAGCUGCUGUUGGAAGAGAGACGUUGAGCUGUGUUUAGUCUCUUUGCUAAAAAAAAUCAGGCAGUUAAAAAGAUGUUUGGUGGCUGGUACUAUGACUGGGACCGUAUAUGUCCUGUUGAUGAAGUUAGGUGCUGUUCUGAGCAUUAUUUGUGGCUAUAGAGUGGCAUUUUGAUUGCACGUGUGGCUCUCUGUGGUCGUUACUAAAGUUGGUAUAACUACAGAAGCAAACAUUCAUCUCUCGACGGGGUGUCUAACUCAGUGUUACAGUGUGUUUGACCCUAAAUUAAUUUUACACCGGAAUAUCCCUUUAAACACUGCUGAGGGUUUCCCUUCACUCCCUAAAACUUAAACACAUCCUAAAAUAAAAUAACCUUUUAUCCAAAACUCACUCAGGUGAAGUUUGACGGCCAAAGAAAGCUCUUAGUGUUUCAGCCGGACUUUUAAAUUAAAUUUUAAACUCUUUAAAAUGCUGGUUUUUUUUUUCCUCCAUAAGAGGAAGGUGAGGAGGAAGUGUUCCUCUUUGCUGAGUCCUCUCCUUUCAUAACUGGGACACCUCGCAGCGAUUUAUUGUGCUUGUUACAGGAAGAGAAAUGUUGGCAGUGGUCAGGUCGGUUCCACCGCUGAGAGUUCAGGUAGCGUAGCAUGGAACAGAGAUAUUGUUGCCAUGGUUACCUGAAUGUUAAUACCACCUUUUUGGUCCUCCUGAUAAAGAGCAGCAGUUUAAAGAGAUGAAUCAAACUUUGAUAUAGUGUUUUAAUUCUUUUGUGCGGUCUUAUAAACAGCCUUCAGUUACGUACAAACGUCUCUUUUCAUAUUUUAAGACAUAAAUCAUUUAGAAACCACUUUCAGGGAUAAAAAACGCAAAUAAAGUAAAAUAAUUACGUGUUUUGUGCAGAGGAGAAAUCCAUUAGAGCGGCAGAAUAUCGAUCUUAAUGCAAUAAUCUAAACUCUCUCUUUCUGCGUUCCUCUUUUCACCUUUUCAAAUAAAUCCAGAGUGCUAAAAUAUCAGCCGAGCGCUCGGCAGAUCAGCAUAUUAAAGAUAAUUACACAACCAGUUUGUCAUUCAGUUCAGUGAAGAGCGUCUCUUCAUUUGUUUGGGAAUAAUGCGCCACUCAAACACGCUGCUCUGCGCAGGGUUACUCUAGUAACCUUUUCUAUGAAUAGUAAAUGUCACCGUAAUCAAUUUUAGAUGGGGCGGCUCUGCAGGUGGAGCCUGGAGCAGGUUGGGAGGAGGAGAAGGAGGAGGAGAAGGAGGAGGAGGAGAGCUGCUGCUGCUGGAGUAGAUGUUUUUCUAGAAGCUUUGUGAGGCAGACGGACCCGAGACUGAAAAUGAGAGAGGAGAGAGUGUGGACAUGUUAGAGACAAAGAAAGUGUCCUCAUGGUCUCUCCAAGAUGAUGUCCAAUCUUGUCUCAGUGGUGGAAAAGCCUUAAUCUGUUAUUGGGCGUCCCUUUCAGCGAUCUUACGAGUGUUAGUUUCAUCUCAGGUGAAAAGUGCAGCUAAACCAAGAGGGAGACGUCUGCAGCUGAUGCACAAGUGCUGAAAAAGUGUAGAUACAGAGCAGAUACUAGAUUAAAGCUCCUGUGAGGAGUUAUUCUAACAUUUAUGAGAUUUUUUAAUAAUAUCUGAAAGAGAACAAGACUGAACAUUUUUCUACUAGGUUGUGUUUUUGCAUUUUCCUGCUUAAUUUUAAUUAAUUUUAGGUGGAGACUAUUCUAAAGAACAUGGAUCACCCACUUCACAACACCUUAAUGCAGUGGUUCUCAAGCCCUGUCCUCGAGGCCCACUGUUUCCCUGCUCCAACACACCUGAUUCAAAUGAUGAGCUCAUUUGAAUCAGGUGUGUUGGAGCAGGGAAACAGUGGGCCUCGAGGACUGGACUUGAGAACCAAAGAGCCAAUGCUGGUGGACGGCUCCUCUCUCAGAAGAUCUUUUGUGCCAACAGCCAUCAGACUUUAUAACUUUUGUGUAAAUAGUAGAUAAACUUUUAGAGACAUGACAAAUGAGACGACAGACAAUUGAAUUUCCCUUAGAGGAUUAAUAAAGUUCUUCUUAAAAUACAAUCAGUGAUACUUGUGAGUGUCAAGAGGACACAACUUUGGCACAUAGAUGACAAGAUAAGUAAAGACUUCUUUGUCCACAGGGGGCGCCAAAACUGCCUCAACACUUUAAAGCAGCAGCUGAGAACAAGCGGCAGAAAACCCAGGCUAUGACAAGUUGAUAUUAUUUAGUUUGCUGGUCCCAAAGCUGACUGAGAAUGAGUAAAAUGAAAUCUAGAUCUUCCUCCUGAGUUUCCCCUGUUAGCUCAGGGGAGGAUUUUGGCACAUGCUAGUUGUCAGGAGUAAAAUUUCUGCUCAUGACUUGUUUUCUCACCUUACCUCCCUCCUGUGUUUUCAGUCUGAUAGAAAAGAAACACCUCAACCAGAACUCCAAACCUUAAAGCGAACAGGAGAGAGAGCGGCUCACCGAGCAGGCUGUGUCGUUUUCUCUAUCGGGAGCUGCAGCGAGCCCUCGAAAUAAAAUCAACUCCUGCAGACUGAACAUCACUCAACGCUGCUGUCUGAGGACGCCCCAGUUCUAGGACCAUAUGUCAGGUCUGCACUCGGUCGGAUCAGGUAUGUUUGAGUUACAAAUUCGAUCUAAAGGAAGGAAAGCAGAUGAACGUACUUCAGGAGGAGAUUUACACUCAAAAGAUCGUUUACUUAUUACAGGUCCGUCCAUCAAUGAGCUUUACUGUUUGUCCAGGUCAAGGUUAUGGAGGACUCGAGGCGGAGUGCACCCUGGACAGACUGCCAAUGUAUCAUCAGGCUGCAACCAGAAACACUCCCAGGUUAGUUGGAGCUAUAAAACUUCCAGUAAUACCAGGAUUUCAUAGUCCUGGUCGUUUCCGUUGGUCGCCACAUGUCAAAAAUUGGAGGAGAAACGAAGAAGAAGUAGCGUCUGCCAGCAAACUAGCUGUGUCAGUUCUCUCACGGAUGUUUCAGCACUUUGAAAACUGACAUCCAGAUUUAUUUUUAACCCAAAAACAACAUUAGAGUGAAAAUCUGAUAUCGUUGCAGCCCAAUCGUUGGUCCUUGUAUCGUUGUUUCAUAACACCUCUUCAGAUUUCACCUGUAAAUCCUUCAGGGAAAGACUGAGGAGAUGUUUACAGAGCUAUCCUCCUGGUACGAGGUCUCACUCUGCUCCAAAGUAAACACCGCCACCUGACUGAGUUCACUCUCUGACCUGCUCAAAGCCUCGGGGAUCCAGGUGGGGUCACGACGAGCCGCGGGUCCUCUUAGUCUGAACCGAGUCGCAGCAUCUGGAGCUCAUCCACUCGACACAGAGCUGAUGAUGCUGCAUGUUUUAUUCAAAGCUCUUAGUGUCAUAGCAUUUUAAUCUGCAAUCAACCCGCCUCUUCAGGGCUUACGUUACCUUCUCUGAGAUCCUGACGGCAGGGUUAAAAUAAGGACAGAGGUAUUUCUUUAAAAAUGAAAAAGCUCUGAUGUUGUUUUUAAUAAAUCCCCCGAAGAAAAGAACAAAGAAUUUCUGCCUCAAAACCCCAAAAAUGAAUCUUGUUUAUUUUUAACAACAGAAACACUUUAUUUUGAAGGCCUGAAUGUUGUUUUAAAGGCUGAAGCAGAAGUCAGGGUAUUACCUAAAGGCUGCUUUAAACAUGGGGCCUGAAUUAUACAUUAGUUGGCAUAAGCAUGCCGGGCUUGUAGGAGGUCAUAAUAGGUACUCAGUCCGCAACGCCGCUCACCACAGGGAAACAAUGUGAGCACGGGGAUUUAGCAUCUUCUUAUAGAGUGUAGGUAACAGUGUGGUUUAAACCGUGUAGCUACAGAGUGGAGCUGAACCCAACAGUAUGAAACAGACGUGGAUCAAAAGGUUUCUGCUUGUGCAGAGACGCAAU